rnacentral:rRNA from 1 species
UGGGGAAUAUUGCACAAUGGGCGCAAGCCUGAUGCAGCCAUGCCGCGUGUGUGAAGAAGGCCUUCGGGUUGUAAAGUACUUUCAGCGGGGAGGAAGGGAGUAAAGUUAAUACCUUUGCUCAUUGACGUUACCCGCAGAAGAAGCACCGGCUAACUCCGUGCCAGCAGCCGCGGUAAUACGGAGGGUGCAAGCGUUAAUCGGAAUUACUGGGCGUAAAGCGCACGCAGGCGGUUUGUUAAGUCAGAUGUGAAAUCCCCGGGCUCAACCUGGGAACUGCAUCUGAUACUGGCAAGCUUGAGUCUCGUAGAGGGGGGUAAAAUUCCAGGUGUAGCGGUGAAAUGCGUAGAGAUCUGGAGGAAUACCGGUGGCGAAGGCGGCCCCCUGGACGAAGACUGACGCUCAGGUGCGAAAGCGUGGGGAGCAAACAGG